UAGCUGUUUUUUGGUGCAUUGUUAGACUCUUCUCAUUUGCUGAAUUGCUGCCUGCCUUUUGGUUCACUAAAACUCUCCUUUCCUCUGAGACCAUCUGUUUGGUUUCUCCGCUGUGCAAGGCCUACCUUUGCUCCUGCCGUUGCUGUGCUGCCAUAGGUGUGCCGGGAGAGAUGUCGGGGUUGCUUGGCACGGUGGUUGAUGCAACAAUAGGAUGGCUGGUGCAAAGCAUCCUUGACAGCUUCUUUACUGGACGUAUGGAAGCCUGGACUCGUGAAAUCGGGCUUGCUGAAGAUGUGGAGAAGCUCAAAUUUCAGAUGAGGGACGUGCAGAUGGUUCUUGCUGCUGCCGAGGGAAGAAGGAUUGACAAUAUGCCUCUGGCCCUGUCACUGGAUGAUCUCAGAGAGCUACUUUAUGAUUCAGAGGACGUGAUGGAUGAGCUUGACUACUACCGACUUGAGCAACAGAUCACAGAAGGGAAAGGUUGUAGUGCUCCUACUGGUACUAAUCUUGAGGGAAGCUAUGUGUCUUCAUCCACUCUAUCUUCUGUUGUUAAAUCAGUAUGCAGUGCCACAAGCCAAAUAACUGACUGGAUCUCACAUGGCAGAAAAAGGAAACGUGAAGAAGAGGGGCCUGCUCAUUGUAACAUGCUGCCUUUUGAGAUUAAAGAUAGCAUUUCCAAGAGGAUCAAUGUAAUAGUGAAUCUUCUAUGCAGUAAUAGCAAUUCUGUAAAGGGGGUUCUUCAGCUUGAGAACUUGCGCACCAUGGCAACAUCAAGUAAGAGUCAGAAUAUUGCCAGGGAUCAUCGCAUGACAACUUCUGUUCCGAUUGAGUCUAAGGUGUACGGACGAGAUGCAGAGAGAGACGAGAUAAUAGAUCUGUUGAUAAAGGGGGGAUUUAGUGAUCUGAAUGUUCUGCCAGUGGUUGGCAGUGGUGGUAUUGGGAAGACGACACUUGUUAGAUAUGUAUACCAUGCUAAAAGAAUUAAAGAUCAUUUUGAUUUGCUAAUAUGGGUCUGUGUAUCCACUAACUUAGAUGUAGUGGGGCUAACACUUCAGAUCCUAGAUCAUGUAUGUGAAGAUAGACCAUAUGAAAAAAAAAGCAGUUUGAAUAAAUUGCAGGAGAUACUUCAAGAAAAUAUUAGAAACAAAAGAUUUCUGCUUGUAAUGGAUGAUAUGUGGGAAGAGAAGGACAGGGGUGGAUGGAUUAAACUCUUGGCUCCAUUGAAAAGUAAUAAAGUAAAAGGUUGCAUGGUACUAGCAACAACCAGAACAAAAUCAGUGGCAAAAAUGAUAGGAACUAUGGAUGAAAUCACAUUGACUGGUCUGGAUGAGAAGGAGUUUUGGCUGUUUUUCAAGGCAUGUGCAUUUCGCAAUGACAACCGCGAGCACCAUCCUAGUUUGCAAUCUAUUGGGAAACAAAUUGCUAAAGCACUAAAAGGCUUCCCACUAGCUGCACAAAGUGUUGGUGCACUUCUGAGCACAGAAGUUAGCUAUCAGCAUUGGACGACAGUUCGGGACAAACGGAAAUCUCUUCAAGGAUAUGAUGAUGAUAUUUUACCCAUCUUGAAGCUCAGUUAUGAUUAUCUACCAGUCUACCUUCAGCGGUGUUUCUCAUACUGCUCUUUGUAUCCAGAGGACUACGGAUUUGAUGGGAAAGAAUUGGUCCAUGCCUGGAUAUCACAAAAUUUUGUGCAGUGCAAAGAUCCUACCAUAAGACUGGAGGAAACAGGGCAUGAAUAUUUGGAAAAAUUAGUGGAUUUGGGCUUCUUCCAAAAGGAUGGCUCACACUAUGUUAUGCAUGACCUAAUGCAUGUAUUGGCAGGGAUGGUUUCAUCAAAUGAGUGUGCUACUAUAGAUGGAUUGAAAUCCGGGGCAAUUCGAGCAAGUGUUCGGCAUUUGUCGAUCAUAAUUGCUGAUUAUGAUAAAGAUGAACAUGUCAGCAAUUCUAGUGAGAAGUUUGACAAAAUACUUCAGAAGGUGUCUUGGCACAAAUUGAGGACAUUGAUGUUGUUUGGGCGAAGCAGCAUACAUUUAUCAGGGCCAUUGCGUACUUUAUGCAAUGAGGCAAAAUGUUUACGGUUGCUAAGUGUGACAGGUGCUGACAUCAGCUCUAUAUACAAUUCGUCAAAUCUAUUCCAUCUUCGCUAUAUAUCAGCAUACAGAGUCAGCAACCCUGCGUUUCGUCAAGCUUUGACAAGAUGUUAUCACCUUCAAGUACUGGAUGUGGGCAUUUCGGGCAAUCUUGAUGUACCUACUGACAUGAAUAAUCUUGUGAAUCUGCGUCAUCUUAUUGCUCAUGAGAAAGUGCACCACGCAAUAGAUUGUGUCAGCAACAUGACCUCUCUUCAGGAAUUAAAAUUCAAGGUUCAAAAUGUUGGCAGUUUUGAGAUAGGACAACUUCAGUCCAUGAAUGAGCUUGUAUCACUAGGAGUUUCUCAACUUGAAAAUGUGAAGACUAAAGAAGAGGCGUGGGCAGCCAUGCUGACACACAAAGAGUAUCUAGAAACAAUGUUCUUGUCAUGGGAGAAUAGCAGCAUGAGCCUUCAACCUGAGGCUGCAGAGGAUGUGCUUGAUGGUCUUCAACCACAUCAGAACCUCAAAACUCUAGAAAUAACUGGAUAUGGUGGUGCUAUCUCCCCAACCUGGCUUUCCAGUGCCUUUUCAGUUACCUCACUGCAGAUACUUCAUCUGGAGGAGUGUAGGGAAUGGCAAAUUCUAUCUACUCAUGGAAUGCAUUCCCUUAGGAAGCUGACAUUGAUCAGGAUGUUGGAUUUAAUGGAACUCUCAGUUCCUUCCUUGGUAGAGUUGAUCCUGAUUGGCAUGCCAAAAUUGAAAAAAUGUACCGGUUCUUAUGGAAUGGAUUUGACUUCCCAUUUAAGUGUUUUGAUGAUCAAGAACUGCCCUCAACUGAAUGAGCUCACUCUUUUCCAGAGUUACUCUUCUUUCGACGCUGAGCAGAAAUCCUGGUUUCCAUCUCUCAGCAAACUGUCCAUCGGGCAGUGUCCUCAUAUAAUCAACAACUGGCCAAUCCUUCCACUAAGAGAAAUGGGGGCACUCAAGGAGUUGGAGUUGAUGGAUCUGCAUGUUGUCAGAGUGUCAAUUCCUUCUCUGGAGAAGUUGAGGUUGUCCAGGAAAACAGCACAUCUACAAGCAGCCUUGUCCCCCCAUCUCUCAAACGUGUCAACAUUAGCACAUGUGGCGUAACUGGGAGGUGGCUAUCUCAACUGCUUUCACAUUCGCAGUCCCUUGAGGAGUUGCUGUUAACUGGCUGUCCGCAGAUAAAGUUUCUAUCAAUCAGUCAACCUAGAGAAAUGGAAGGGACCAGCAGUUUGGUUUCAGCAGUGACGACCUCGGCCCAAGAUGAACAUGAAUUGAAACUGCCAUAUAAUCUCCUAUGUUCUCUCAAGGCGCUAUGCAUUCAGCUAAGCCUGGAUCUGGAGUUCUGUGGGGGUUACAGAGACUUCGCAGGAUUCACCUCUCUUACGGACCUAGUCCUUUUUGGUUGCCCCAAGCUGGUCUCAUCGUUGGUGGGUGAAACAAAAGAUGAUGGUACCAUGGAAGUUGGAUUACUCCCACCAGCACUUGAAAAAGUUACUAUCAGUCCUCUCCAAGAAAGCCUGCGGUCCUUCACUCCUCAAGGCCUUCUCCACCUCAAAGAGCUAAGUCUCUUUUAUGGCCCAUGUUUGAAGUCUGUACAGCUGCAUUCCUGUACCUCCCUAGUGGAGCUAGGGAUCACGGGGUGUGUCCAGCUGGCUGUACUGGAGGGUUUGCAGUUCCUCACCUCCCUCCGAAGCUUGGAUAUUGAGAUGAGCCCGGAGCUGUCUUCUGCAUGGGAUCUCAAACUGCAGGAGCAAGAACAGGGUGGCAAUCAAAUUCAGCUGCUUCCUCCGUCCCUUGAUAAACUUGAGAUCAGGGCUCUCACGGACAGUGUCCAAUCCCAUCUUCUGUCCUGCCUUCCUGCCAUCACCAAAUUAGCGAUAGGGCGUAGUCCAGAAUUGACAUCUCUACAGCUGGGAUGCUGCACGGCACUAAAAGAGUUGGAAAUUGAAAAAUGCGACUCACUGGAGUCCAUCGAGGGCCUCCAAUUCUGUAGAAACCUGAAAUACCUGAGAGUAUUUAACUCCCCUGGCCUAGCUUCCUUUUUGGAGCUCGUGUCGCACCAGCAAGGGGCCUCUGCGACCUUGUCUGGACUGGAAACUCUUGAGGCCAGUGACGGGUCUGUCCUUUCCAGGUCUUUCUGCAAACAGCUCACAUCUCUAGGACUCCUACAGUUCGGCUCUGAGACUAGUGAAUGGAGAGGAGAGAGCUUGGUGAGCCUAACGGAGGAACAAGAGGGAGCGUUACAGCUUCUAACCUCCCUCCAAGAGCUUCAAUUUCGGAGAUGCCAGAAUCUCUUGUCACUUCCUGCAAAUCUUAAUAGCCUGACCUCCCUCGAGACAUUAUCUAUCAUACAUUGUCAGUGGCCAGCACAUUUGUGCAAGUGCCACAUACCCAUUUGGCUUUCCACGAGCUACCUGCAUGAUGGAUGGACGCAGGAAAGCAUAAGGGCAAAGUGUUGGUGGCUGGCCGUGAGCUAUGCUAGAGCAAAGCCUUACCAUAGUUUGUUAUUCAGUAAAACCACACAGCGGACUGCUCGAACCAACCUCAACCAGGACUACCUGAUCCUGAUGACUGCACAUUAA